UGCUGUGGAUCCUUCUGUUCUAUGACAGAUUUUGGUGAACCAGGUUCAGUGCAUCUUUAUCAACUUCUGGUGAUGCUUUUCUCCUUCAGCCUGCGAAGGCUUGAAGCAGCAGUGAACAUCCAUGGGCUGAAAACUACAACCUGGAGAUGGGCUAUUGACUGGGAAGGGGCUGCUGUCCACUAUGGACAUCUCAUUGAAAACCCUCAUGGAGAUGGAGGGGGAGGUGGAAGUGGAGAUGGAGGGGGAGAUGGAGAUGGAGGUGGAGAUGGAGGGGGAGAUGGAGGUGGAGGUGGAGAUGGAGAUGGAGAUGGAGAUGGAGGUGGAGGUGGAGGUGGAGACUGAGUUUUUCUUCCACACUUAACUCACUGGUGAACUGGAUUGAACUAGAUCAAAAGAGAGGGAUGCCAUGGUUUUCUAGGAGGAGAUCUGCCUCACACCUCCAUGAUGUUACCUCCACUGGGUCAAGCAGCUCCCAGUAUGGACCUUUGUGAGCCCAGUUUGUGGUGCUGUCUCCACCCCU
ensembl:lncRNA